UAAAACGUAGGAGGCAAGCGUUAUCCGGAUUUACUGGGCGUAAAGCGCGUGCAGGCGGUUUGGUAAGUUGGAUGUGAAAGCUCCUGGCUUAACUGGGAGAGGUCGUUCAAUACUGCCAGACUUGAGGAUGGUAGAGGGAGAUGGAAUUCCGGGUGUAGUGGUGAAAUGCGUAGAUAUCCGGAGGAACACCAGUGGCGAAAGCGGUCUCCUGGACCAUUUCUGACGCUCAGACGCGAAAGCUAGGGUAGCAAACGGG
rnacentral:rRNA from 1 species